rnacentral:rRNA from 1 species
UACGUAGGGGGCGAGCGUUAAUCGGAAUUACUGGGCGUAAAGCGUGCGCAGGCGGUUUUGUAAGCCAGAUGUGAAAUCCCCGGGCUUAACCUGGGAAUGGCAUUUGGGACUGCAAGGCUGGAGUUUGGCAGAGGAGACUGGAAUUCCUGGUGUAGCAGUGAAAUGCGUAGAUAUCAGGAGGAACACCGAUGGCGAAGGCAGGUCUCUGGGCUGAAACUGACGCUCAUGCACGAAAGCGUGGGGAGCAAACGGG